GGUGCGCCUUAUGCAUGCAAGUCGAGCGAAGCUUUUCAGUAGUUUACUACAGAAAAUGACUGAGCGGCGAACGGGUGAGUAACGCGUGAGCAACCUACCUUAGUUACUGGGAUAGCCCGAGGAAACUCGGAUUAAUACCGGAUAUUCUUAUUUAAUCACAUGAUUUUUUAAGGAAAGGUCAGCCGAACUAAGAUGGGCUCGCGUUCUAUCAGCUAGUUGGUAGGGUAACGGCCUACCAAGGCUACGACGGAUAGCUGGUCUGAGAGGACGAUCAGCCACACUGGGACUGAGACACGGCCCAGACUCCUACGGGAGGCUGCAGCAGGGAAUAUUGUGCAAUGAACGAAAGUUUGACACAGCGACACCGCGUGUGGGAUGACGGAUCUAGGUUUGUAAACCACUUUCAGGAGGGAAGAAAAUGACGGUACCUCCACAAGAAGCCCCGGC
rnacentral:rRNA from 1 species